rnacentral:misc_RNA from 1 species
UCCCGGUUGGCCCGGGCAGUCUCGUCUGAAAAAUUCAACAGACGACAAGGGUUGCGCUCGUUGCGGGACUUAACCCAACAUCUCACGACACGAGCUGACGACGGCCAUGCAACACCUGUCACUAGGUUCCCGAAGGCACUCCACUGUUUCCAGCGGAUUCCUAGGAUGUCAAACCUUGGUAAGGUUCUUCGCGUAGCGUCGAAUUAAACCACAUCAUCCACCGCUUGUGCGGGUCCCCGUCAAUUCCUUUGAGUUUUAAUCUUGCGAUCGUACUACCCAGGCGGCAUAUUUAACGCGUUAGCUUCUCAGCACAGGGGGUCGAUACCCCAUACUAAUAAUAUGCAUAGUUUACGGCGUGGACUAC